rnacentral:rRNA from 1 species
CCUACGGGUGGCAGCAGUGGGGAAUAUUGCACAAUGGGGGAAACCCUGAUGCAGCGACGCCGCGUGAGUGAAGAAGUAAUUCGUUACGUAAAGCUCUAUCAGCAGGGGAGAAACACUGACCUUACGGUCAGCAGACGGUACCUGAGUAAGAAGUCCCGGCUAACUACGUGCCAGCAGCCGCGGUAAUACGUAGGGGGCAAGAGUUAUCCGGAUUUACUGGGUGUAAAGGGGGCGUGGACGGUGCGCCAAGUCUGGAGUGAAAUGCCGCAGCUUAACUGCGGAACUGCUUUGGAAACUGGCGAACUAGAGUGCGGGAGGGGUAAGCGGAAUGCCUAGUGUAGCGGUGAAAUGCGUAGAUAUUAGGCGGAACACCGGUGGCGAAGGCGGCUUACUGGACCGUAACUGACGUUGAGGCUCGAAAGCGUGGGGAGCAAACAGGAUUAGAUACCCCUGUAGUC